rnacentral:rRNA from 5 species
UGCAAGUCGAGCGAACAGAUGAGAAGCUUGCUUCUCUGAUGUUAGCGGCGGACGGGUGAGUAACACGUGGGUAACCUACCUAUAAGACUGGGAUAACUCCGGGAAACCGGGGCUAAUACCUGAUAAUAUUUUGAACCGCAUGGUUCGAUAGUGAAAGGCGGCUUCGGCUGUCACUUAUAGAUGGACCCGCGCCGUAUUAGCUAGUUGGUAAGGUAAUGGCUUACCAAGGCGACGAUACGUAGCCGACCUGAGAGGGUGAUCGGCCACACUGGAACUGAGACACGGUCCAGACUCCUACGGGAGGCAGCAGUAGGGAAUCUUCCGCAAUGGGCGAAAGCCUGACGGAGCAACGCCGCGUGAGUGAUGAAGGUUUUCGGAUCGUAAAACUCUGUUGUUAGGGAAGAACAAAUUUGUUAGUAACUGAACAAGUCUUGACGGUACCUAACCAGAAAGCCACGGCUAACUACGUGCCAGCAGCCGCGGUAAUACGUAGGUGGCAAGCGUUAUCCGGAAUUAUUGGGCGUAAAGCGCGCGUAGGCGGUUUCUUAAGUCUGAUGUGAAAGCCCACGGCUCAACCGUGGAGGGUCAUUGGAAACUGGGGAACUUGAGUGCAGAAGAGGAGAGUGGAAUUCCAUGUGUAGCGGUGAAAUGCGCAGAGAUAUGGAGGAACACCAGUGGCGAAGGCGGCUCUCUGGUCUGUAACUGACGCUGAUGUGCGAAAGCGUGGGGAUCAAACAGGAUUAGAUACCCUGGUAGUCCACGCCGUAAACGAUGAGUGCUAAGUGUUA